rnacentral:lncRNA from 1 species
AGCACUGAGCUCCAAUUCUAGCCACAUCCUUAGCAAUGUUCCUUGCCAGCUUCUUGGGUCUAGAGAGUCUGGGCGUGGAGCCUGUAGAAAUAAAUAAAUAAAUGAAAUGGAGUCAUUGGAAUUUGGAUUUAGUGGUAUAAAGUUUCACAAGAAUUCUCACUAGAAUUCCUUAUUCAUCACAUACAAAGCGUUAAGCAGCUACCUUCUUUACCCCAGAAGGAAAGAUGUGACUUUAGGCAUCAUAAACCAGAUUUUCUUCUCUGUACAGGUUUCACAGUGAUUCUAUUGAAACAUUCUUUGGCUUACAUGUGGCAAAAUGAUUUUUAAAGAGAUAACUACAUCCAGGGGAACUAUGAUAAAUUACACACUUACUAGUGCCUUGGUUCUCUUCCUUUCUUGGUCUCAUUCUGCCUUCCCUUCUGAUGAUUUAGCAAAAGCAUGAGAACAGUAGCUUGAGAGUUUACAAGUUCAUGAAGUGUUGAGAUAGCAUACAAAAAAUUGUUUGCAUUAUUUUUUGUAAUGGCAGAGGACUGGCUAGAACCAACUUUUGAGGGUUUGUUGAUAUCUGUUCAUCUUUCACAGUUACCCACCCCCCCCCCUUUUUUUUUUCUCCUGGUAUGUGGAAUAUUGUAAUGCUUGCUGAAUAUUGCAGCCAGGUACAUCUUCUUAAAGUACUGGAACUGUUACUAGCUAUUCAAUAAUCAGUCUAAAAACAUACUUGGAACUCGAUGUAAGAUUUCACCACCAAAGUAAUCUCUUAAUCACUUAUAUUUGAUUGACGAUUUUGCCUUUACAUUUUCUCUGAAGGAACUUUUACAUCAUUAGCUUUCCUUCAGACCUGUUCCAGAGACCUACAGAAUUACAGCAGGGCACUUAAAAAUAGUAUUGAUUUUGAAUGAAAAGUUGGUAUUUUCUGUACAUUAAGGAUAGAUGUUAAAUUAAAUAACCAAAGAUAUUGGAGAUAGAUUAAUCUUCAGUAUUAGUAACACAGGAUUUUUUUGAACUUGUAAUAAGGUUUUGGUGGCUAUUGUACUGGAAAAAUUAAAAGGCUAUGUAAGUCUCAAAGCUAGGUGACUUACCCUAGUACUUAUUCGGUAAUCUGUUGGUAGCUAUUAAACAAUUGAAUUAUCCGAGUUUAAUUCUGGAGAAUUUUUUAAAAGCAAAAAGGUUCAGUGUCUUGUGAUUUCAUUCUAUAGAAACAAAUGCAGCCAAAUGAUGCAUUUUCUUCUAGUCUUUUUUUUUCCAUGUAUAAAUAUUUCACAGUUGACUCAGACUGCAUAUAUGGUACUGUAUCUUGCUUUUCUCACUUAACAUCAUGAACCUUUCUUUCCUGUGGCAUUAAAAACUGUCUUUGAAAAAUGACUGUCUUUGAUAAAUGGAAAGCAUUUGGGGCUGUUAGUAUAACUGAAAUGUUUUCUUGGUGUGACACAUGUACCUUUGUAAUUGGCUUGAUUUAGUGUGCUUUACUUCAAUAAAAAUUCAGCAUUACAAUGUACAGAUUGGGGUGGGGAGUGGUAUCUACUUUAAAUGACCAGAACCUUCCUGCUGGGAUUUUUUUUUUAAUGAUAAAACUAUAAAACACCACAGGACAUGGACACUGCAAGUGCUUUUAGGUCACUAAGUACACUGCACAGGGAGCACUCACACUUCAUUUCAGGACAAUGCCAACCUCUUAGUGCUUCCAGGCAGGGUGAUGCCAAUUUUUUUUUCCCCAAGUCUGAGGAAUUUAAGACACCACCAUCCUCCUCUCCAAGAUAGCACUGGAUGAACCUUAGGGCUGGCUUUCUUCAGAGGGACCUGGAGUGCUGAAAUCCAGGAGAGCAUAAAUGGCAGCCUCAGGGCUCUCUGGCUGUGAGGUUUCCUGGGUGGGGAUUUGCUCGCUCUCUGUGUGUGACUUAAUGAUGGAUGGGCAACUGGAAUUUUAUGUAAUUGAUUAUGCAAAUAGCAUUUUCAUACUACAAUAAGCAUGAAAUGAUGAGCAUAGUUUUGACAAUAGUGAUGUGCUAUUUUUAAUGAUUUCUAUGUAACUUGGAUUCCUAUAACCUGGACUGGAAACUUGUUUUUUACUCUUCGGAGUUUCAAUGAGUGAUUAAAUCAUCCUGAGCUUAAAAACAAAUAACAAACACUAUUUCAAAUGG